rnacentral:rRNA from 1 species
UACAAUGACUUUCGGCANCGGAUAUCUCGGCUCUUGCAUCGAUGAAGAGCGUAGCGAAAUGCGAUACUUGGUGUGAAUUGCAGAAUCCCGUGAACCAUCGAGUCUUUGAACGCAAGUUGCGCCCGAAGCCAUUAGGCCGAGGGCACGUCUGCCUGGGUGUCACA